UGAGGAAUCUUCGUCAAUGGGCGCAAGCCUGAACGAGCGACGCCGCGUGUGGGAUGACGCAUUUCGGUGUGUAAACCACUUUUAACGGGGACGAGAAUGGACGGUACCCGAAGAAUCAGCAUCGGCUAACUACGUGCCAGCAGCCGCGGUAAUACGUAGGAUGCAAGCGUUGUCCGGAGUUACUGGGCGUAAAGCGUGUGCAGGCGGUCUGUUGCGUCUUUGAUGAAAUCUCCCGGCUCAACUGGGAGGGGGUCAAGGAUACGGGCAGACUUGAGGGCUUGAGAGGGACAUAGAACUCCCGGUGGAGCAGUGAAAUGUAUAGAGAUCGGGAAGAAUACCAGAGGGGAAGCCGGUGUCCUGGCAAGUGCCUGACGCUCAGACACGAAAGCUUGGGGAGCAAACA
rnacentral:rRNA from 1 species